GCCGUUAUAGCUCAGUCGGUAGAGCAACUGAUUCGUAAUCAGUAGGUCGCCAGUUCGAUUCUGGCUAGCGGCU
rnacentral:tRNA from 1 species